rfam:Firmicutes bacterium CAG:95 genomic scaffold, scf336
UUGAGGGCAACCUCGAAUCUGAAGGAAGCUGGAUGUGAGGAACAUACUAACUCACGGGCAAAUCUCCGGUCUGACGGACAGAAGCAUUGAGGGAAAGAAGACCUG